GAAAUGCGAUAAGUAAUGUGAAUUGCAGAAUUCAGUGAAUCAUCGAAUCUUUGAACGCACAUUGCGCCCGCCAGUAUUCUGGCGGGCAUGCCUGUUCGAGCGUCAUUUCAACCAUCAAGCCCCGGGCUUGUGUUGGGGACCUGCGGCUGCCGCAGGCCCUGAAAACCAGUGGCGGGCUCGCUGUCACACCGAGCGUAGUAGAUUCUCUUCUCGCUCAGGGCGUGCUGCGGGUUCCGGCCGUAAAACAGCCUUAUUUUACCCAAGGUUGACCUCGGAUCAGGUAGGAAGACCCGCUGAACUUAAGC
rnacentral:misc_RNA from 1 species